UCUGGCAGAAUCCCCUAGUACUACCAUCCUGCCACAGGGCAGAAGCCCUGAGCUGCCCCUCUAGUCAGGUAGGCGAUGUAUGAGGGGCUCCAGGAGCCGCACUUUAACUGUAAAAGAGCCACAUGCAGCUCAAGAGCCACAGUUUGAUCACUCCUGUGAUACAGAGUUUUCUUCCUAGUGCAUGUGCAACGUGCCUCAGGUGGCACAUGACCAGGAUUUUAUCACCGAAUUUGGUCUGCUGGUUGGAUCAUUAGCUUCUCUGGCCCGGGCACAGUACUGACAGGAUCCAGAAUAUCAUGAAUGAUCAUUGGCCCUUCAGUAAUAAAGAGGAACUGGACUUCAGGAAGAGCAACAGAAGAGUUAAGAGUCCUUUAGAGUGCUGACUGCCUGCUGGAAGAUGAUGAGUCCUUUCAACUCAAACUGACUUAUGUCUAUCCAGGGUGCUCAGCAUCUUACAAAAUUAUACCAUCACCGGUCUGAGCUCAAUGCAGAUGGAGUGUGAGAUUUAAGAGGAAGACAUGAUCUGCACAGGGGGGAAAAAAAGAGACUCAUCUGAGGGUGAACUUCAAAUAUCUUCUGGACUAUAACUGGAGGACAAGGAAACCACCCUGUUACUAUGCAGCUAGGAAGUAGACAGACAUGUUUGAAUUCAUGAAAAUGGGAUCACAACCAGUCCUAGGCUGGAAAUAUCGCAAAUUUUUUUGCAUGAGAUAAGACUACUUUAGACAGGAGGUUUGAUUAGACUCUUCAGACACCUUCCAACAAAUUGGGUUAAGAACAGAUCAAUAAGGGUUAGAAUAGACCUACCACCACACACUGAACAAGAAGAAAACAAGAUACUGAACAGCUGCUCACUAAGUGACCACCAUUCAUCUGCACAAGGAACAUGGAAGCGUACCUAUGGAAAAAUAGGUCUGGAGCUGCUUUGAGUUUGUGUGUCUAUAUCACUAGAAGGUGACUUCUUUUCACAACGAUCACUGCAUAUCUGACCUCUCGGUUCUCAUCUUCAAAGAAAUCCUGAACAACACCUUCAAAAGACAAGCCUAGGAGCUGAGGUUCAUAACUUUCUAAGACACUAAAAAUCAUGCAUUUAAGAAAGACACUGAAUUUAUGGCUUAUUACAAUAACCUGUAACUCACUAAUCCCCUUUUCGUCCUGUGUUGGGAAAGGUGUUAA